rnacentral:rRNA from 1 species
AUAAGCGCACACGGUGGAUGCCUAGGCGGUCAGAGGCGAUGAAGGACGUGGUAGCCUGCGAAAAGUGUCGGGGAGCUGGCAACAAGCUUUGAUCCGGCAAUAUCCGAAUGGGGAAACCCACUGCUUCGGCAGUAUCUUGCAGUGAAUUCAUAGCUGCUUGAAGCGAACCCGGUGAACUGAAAUAUCUAAGUAACCGGAGGAAAAGAAAUCAACCGAGAUUCCCUGAGUAGUGACGAGCGAACGGGGAAUAGCCCUUAAGCUGGAAUGGCUUUAGAAAAACAAUCUGGAAAGAUUGGCCAUAGAAGGUGAUAGCCCUGUAUUUAAAAGGGCCACUCCAGUGAAGACGAGUAGGGCGGGGCACGUGAAACCCUGUCUGAAUAUGGGGGGACCAUCCUCCAAGGCUAAAUACUCCUGACCGACCGAUAGUGAACCAGUACCGUGAGGGAAAGGCGAAAAGAACCCCGGAGAGGGGAGUGAAAUAGAUCCUGAAACCGUGUGCGUACAAGCAGUAGGAGCUCGCAAGAGUGACUGCGUACCUUUUGUAUAAUGGGUCAGCGACUUACUGUUCGUGGCAAGCUUAACCGUAUAGGGGAGGCGAAGGGAAACCGAGUCUGAUAAGGGCGCAUAGUCGCGGGCAGUAGACCCGAAACCGGGUGAUCUAGUCAUGGCCAGGGUGAAGGUGCCGUAACAGGUACUGGAGGCCCGAACCCACGUCUGUUGCAAAAGACGGGGAUGAGCUGUGAUUAGGAGUGAAAAGCUAAUCGAACCCGGAGAUAGCUGGUUCUCCUCGAAAGCUAUUUAGGUAGCGCCUCGGACGAAUACUACUGGGGGUAGAGCACUGUUAUGCUAGGGGGUCAUCGCGACUUACCAAACCAUUGCAACUCCGAAUACCAGUACGUACUAUCCGGGAGACCACACGGCGGGUGCUAACGUCCGUCGUGAAAAGGGAAAACAACCCAGACCCACAGCUAAGGUCCCAAAUUCACUGCUAAGUGGAAAACGAUGUGGAAAGGCAUAGACAGCCAGGAGGUUGGCUUAGAAGCAGCCACCCUUUAAAGAAAGCGUAAUAGCUCACUGUCGAGUCGGUCUGCGGAAGAUUUAACGGGGCUAAGCAGUGAACCGAAGCUUGGGGUGCGUAAAACUUCGGUUUUAUGCCGGUAGAGGAGCGUUCCGUAAGCUGCGAAGGUGGAUUGAGAAGUCUGCUGGAGGUAUCGGAAGUGCGAAUGCUGACAUGAGUAACGAUAAUGCGGGUGAAAAGCCCGCACGCCGAAAGCCCAAGGUUUCCCUUGCGCCAACGUUAAUCGACGCAGGGUUAGUCGGUCCCUAAGGCGAGGGCGAAAGCCGUAGUCGAUGGGAAGCAGGUUAAUAUUCCUGCACCUCGCGUGAGUGCGAUGGAGGGACGGAGAAGGUUAGGUGUACCGGGCGUUGGUUGUCCCGGGGAAAGGCGGUAGGUUUGGAUCUUUGGCAAAUCCGGGAUCCUUUAAGACCGAGCACCGAGACGAGCCUUUAUGGCGAAGUCACUGAUACCACGCUUCCAGGAAAAGCUCCUAAGCUUCAGCUCACGAAGACCGUACCGUAAACCGACACAGGUGGGUAGGAUGAGAAUUCUCAGGCGCUUGAGAGAACUCGGGUGAAGGAACUAGGCAACAUGGCACCGUAACUUCGGGAGAAGGUGCACCCUUUUUGGUGGGCUCAUGCGAGCUAUAGCUGAAGAAGGGUCCGCAGAAACCAGGCCGCUGCGACUGUUUAUCAAAAACACAGCACUCUGCAAACACGAAAGUGGACGUAUAGGGUGUGGACCGCCUGCCGGUGCUGGAAGGUUAAUUGAUGGGGUCAGCCGCAAGGCGAAGCUCUUGAUCGAAGCCCAGUAAACGGCGGCCGUAACUAUAACGGUCCUAAGGUAGCGAAAUUCCUUGUCGGGUAAGUUCGACCUGCAACGAAUGGCGUAACGACAGCGGCGCUGUCUCCCACCCGAGACUCAGUGAAAUUGAAAUCGCUGUGAAGAUGCAGCGUUCCCGUGGCAAGACGGGAAAGACCCCCGUGAACCUUUACUAUAGCUUUACACUGAACGUUGAGUUCGUCUGUGUAAGGAUAGGUGGGAGGCUAUGAAACUGUGGCGCUAGCUGCAGUGGAGCCAACCUUGAAAUACCACCCUGUCGUGCUUGACGUUCUACACCUAGAUCCGUUAUCCGGAUCAGGGACCGUGUAUGGUGGGUAGUUUGACUGGGGCGGUCUCCUCCUAAAGAGUAACGGAGGAGCACGAAGGUACGCUCAGCGCGGUCGGACAUCGCGCACUGUGUGCAAAGGCAUAAGCGUGCUUGACUGCAAGAUCGACGGAUCAAGCAGGUACGAAAGUAGGUCUUAGUGAUCCGGUGGUUCUGUAUGGAAGGGCCAUCGCUCAACGGAUAAAAGGUACUCCGGGGAUAACAGGCUGAUACCGCCCAAGAGUUCAUAUCGACGGCGGUGUUUGGCACCUCGAUGUCGGCUCAUCACAUCCUGGGGCUGUAGUCGGUCCCAAGGGUAUGGCUGUUCGCCAUUUAAAGUGGUACGCGAGCUGGGUUCAGAACGUCGUGAGACAGUUCGGUCCCUAUCUGCCAUGGGCGUUGGAAGUUUGAGAGGGGCUGCUCCUAGUACGAGAGGACCGGAGUGGACGAACCUCUGGUGUUCCGGUUGUCACGCCAGUGGCAUUGCCGGGUAGCUAUGUUCGGAAGCGAUAACCGCUGAAAGCAUCUAAGCGGGAAGCGCGCCUCAAGAUGAGACUUCCCGGGGCACAAGCCCCCUAAAGGAACCAUAUAGACUAUGUGGUUGAUAGGUCAGGUGUGUAAGUACAGCAAUGUAUUGAGCUAACUGAUACUAAUGAUCCGUGCGGCUUGACC